rnacentral:misc_RNA from 1 species
CUUGCGCCCCGGCUUGAGUGAAGCUCUUUUUAUAUGAAACGGAGUGGAAUAUAAAAAAGCGGGAACGGAAGACGGAAAUAGGC